CAAGCUAACUCUAGCUAAUAAUCUUUUCUUCCCCUGUGUUUCUAAAAAUGUGUGUUCUGCUGUCAAAAAGAAGUGGUAGGCCUACUUGAUCAGAUGGAGAAACCUGCUGUUCACAUUUCAAAUAGGCUAACUUACACAAAGAGGUAAUGUCAUUAUCUUUUAUCCAGCAAUAGAGCUUUAUGUCUGUAAGAUUUAAUAUGUGUAAUAUUGCUCAUGAAAUGUUUUGGAUUGUAUCAUGAUUUAGUCGUGACCGUGAGAGUAUGCUGUUUUCAGCUAUAUUUACAUUACAUUUUCAAUCACACUAACAUAAGUUGUUAAAUAACAUUUAUCUUUUUUAUUUCAGGCCAAGAUGCUGAUAAAAGUGCAAUUUGGAGGCAAGAAAAAAUAUAUUAAACUGGAAGAAGAUUGUUUCUUGGAUUUUUUCAGUGCGGUCCAGCACAAGUUUGUGAUACCAGAGGAGACAGCAUCAAAAGUCACAGAUGACAAUGGGGAUGUAUUUCAAGAACUUGCAACAACCAAAGAAACAUGUCAUCCACACUAAUGAUGAUUUGACUGUCCUGCAGCAAGGGGCUGUUAAAGUGCCCUCCUCCCCAAGUCUGACAGAUUCAUUGUCUGUGUCAAGCAGUUUGAGCAGCAGUGAAUCUGGAUCUCAAAUUAUUCAACCUUUAAUGGGCAGUGUCCAAAAAAAUAAAAUCGAGCAAAUUCUAACUUCAAAGCCAGCAGAGUUGACUGUGAUUAAGGAGUAUGACAAGAUAUUUUUUUGCUGCUUUUGAUUCCUGUGAAGUUAAUUUUAUAUAAUGUAAUGUGUUGAUUGUCUCAUGCAAUUUUACUAAGCCAUUGGUUUUAGUUGGCACUAGCUGCUAACAUAUAUUAAUUGUAAAUGUUUUGCUGUUAGAUUUAAUGCUGUGAUGACAAUUAAUUUCAAAGUGUGUACAUCGAUGGAAAUUCUAAAUCUAAUGUGUGGAUUUGCAUGAAUAAAAGCAGUAAGUAAA